AACAAAAGAGUGGGAAAAAAAGGGUUCAUGGCCUCUAAGAUUGAUAUGACUAAGGCAUACGAUAGGGUGGAAUGGGGGUUUCUGAAACAAAUGAUGAUUAAGAUGGGUUUUGAUGAAGAAUGGGUUGCGAGAAUUAUGCAGUGUAUUAAUACGGUCACAUAUUCGGUGAUUUUAAAUGGCGUCCCAGGAAUGGUAUUUAACCCUGAAAGAGGACUACGCCAAGGCGAUCCACUUAGCCCUUUGUUAUUUCUCAUAUGUAGCGGAAGGACUUUCUACACUACUAAGGCUAGCAGCUGAGGAAGGAAGACUAAAAGGGAUCAAAGCAAGCAGACGAGGACCUCAGAUCUCUCACUUGUUAUUUGCUGAUGAUUGCAUUCUAUUUGGGGAAGCAACAGAGAGAGGAAUUACAACAUUUGAACAAAUCCUACAAGAGUACCAGGAAUGUUCCGGUCAAUGCAUUAAUUAUGAAAAAUCAGCGAUGUUUUUCAGCUCAAAUACUUUAGAGAUAGUUCGAGCGAAUAUAUCAAACCGACUGGGAGUUAAAAGGUCCAAUAACUGUGAAAACUACUUGGGUUUACCAAAUAUGGUGGGCCGAAGAAAACGUGGGGCUUUUCAACAUUUAAAAGACCGUAUAAAGAUGAGAAUAGACAAUUGGAGUACUCGUUUGUUAUCUUAAGGAGGGAAAGAGGUGUUCAUUAAAGCUAUUUUACAGCCAAUUCCCACAUACACAAUGUCCUGUUUCUUAUUACCAAUGACUACGUGCUACGAAAUGGAACAAUUGAUGGCCAACUUCUGGUGGCAAAAGGGGAAAGGUAAACGCGGAAUUUAUUGGUGAUCUUGACACAAAUUAUGUGAAUUAAAAGAUGAGGGUGGACUUGGUUAUCGUAAUUUAGCGAAAUUCAAUUUGGCCCUCAUUGCAAAACAAGGGUGGAGAUUAAUUGAUAAUCUGAUGUCCCUUUUGGAGAGAACAUUAAAAGCAAAGUACUAUCAAAACUCUGAUUUCUUAAGGUCGGAGUUAGGAAACUCACCAUCAUAUACUUGGAAAAGUAUAUGGGCAGCCAAAGGGCUACUGCUCUCAGGUCUAAGCUGGAGGGUUGGUGAUGGAAGUAACAUCAAAAUUGAAGAAGAUGCUUGGGUUCCGAAUGCUAAUGGUUUGCUGGUUCAGAAAACAGGCAAUAGGCAAGAGGUUACUAAAGUUUCAGAAUUUAUCGAACAUAGAAAUAGAACAUGGAAGUCGGAGCUGAUUCAUACUACCUUUUCGGCAGAGAUUGCACAACAGAUUUUAUUAAUCCCAUUGGCCCGUUCUCUUCACGAGGACUUUCUGUGUUGGAGAGGCGAGGCAUCUGGCGAAUAUACGGUACGUAGUGGGUACAAAAUUCUCUUACAAAGUAAUGGAAAUUACAACCAAAGUGCGAAUAAUAACUUCUACAAAAAAAUCUGGACAAGUGACCUCCCUUUAAAAAUUAGAAUUACAGCUUGGAGAUCCACUUUUAAUUAUCUUCCUACCCUAGCAAACUUAAAAACAAAGCGAGUAACUAAUAACGACAUUUAUCAGAGGUGCAUGCAAGGGCAGGAAAAUAGAAACCAUCUUUUUCACGAUUGUGCUGUCAGCAAAGAAACAUAGGCAGAGUUAGAGUUUACAUGGCCCCAGAACAUUUUACAGUCCGAAUAUAUGGAAUGGUUUACCUGGACGGUGUUAAACAAUAAACCAGAAGUAGUCCGAAUUUUUAUCUGCGCCAUAUGGGCUAUCUGGUCAGCUAGGAAUAAAUAGGUCCACGAAAGUCAGAAGCGUUCUGGAGCAGAAACAACAAAUUUCAUCCAGAAGUACAUAAGAACUAAAAGUUAUUGAAAGAAAGAAACUCACCUCGGAUCGGAAUUUCAAGGCAUGGAGGCCUCCGCCACAAGGUUUCUUCAAGAUCAACUUCGAUGCUGCUUUUGAUAAAAAGGAGAAAAAGUCAUGUUCAAGAAUAAUAGUCAGGAACCCCAAAGGAGCAGUUACAGUAUCAAAAAAGCAAAUACAUACCAACAUUUCCUCUAGUUUUGCAGCUGAAGCCAUUGCAUGUUUACAGGCAGUUAAUAUAGGCAGAGAACUAGGCUUAACUCAUGUUAUCAUUGAAGGUGACUCUUUGACAGUGAUAAAGAAGAUACAGAAUCAAAAUAGAGACAGAUCGGAAAUAGGGCCUUUCAUUUUUGACAUAAAAGAACGAAGAACAAUGUUUCUUGAAUGUCAGUUCCAACAUGUAAAGAGAACAGAAAAUGCGAAAGCACAUAACCUGGCAUCAGAAGGGCUGAAAAUGGACAGGCAUACAGAUGUUAACCACGGGCAUGCAACGACAACUCUAAUCGGGGCUGGCAACGACACAUCUAAAAAUGGACAGGUUGUUACUGAAGCAGAAGUUGAUCGGGGCUGGAAACGACAUCUCUAAUCGGCUAUGAGUCAUCUUCAAAGAGUUUUUGCUGAAGUUAAAGUAACAGAGAAUAAGGUUCAGGAGAGGACGGAAGGAUAUGAAAUGGAAAAGGAAGGAACAAAAGUAAAUCAAAAGUCAUGAGGCAACAAAUUUCCUUGAAACUCUGGAACGUCUCCAAAAUGAAAAGACAGAUGAAAGGAUGAGACGUACACAGAACUCUCUGAUUGGGUGAAAGGGCUGG
rnacentral:lncRNA from 1 species